UGAGUACGAGCUGCUACGGCAGCGAAGUGGGUGAUGUCAAGCUUCCAAGAAAAGCCCUAUACCCGUUAAGGCAUGACGGCCUGUACCCGAAACCGACACAGGUGGGGUGGUAGAGAAUACCGAGGGGCGCGAGGUAACUCUCUCUAAGGAACUCGGCAAAAUGGCCCCGUAACUUCGGGAGAAGGGGUGCCACCGCAAGGUGGUCGCAGUGAAGAGGCCCAGGCGACUGUUUACCAAAAACACAGGUCUCCGCUAAGUCGCAAGACGAUGUAUGGGGGCUGACGCCUGCCCAGUGCCGGAAGGUUAAGGAAGCUGGUCAGCGUAAGCGAAGCUGGCGACUGAAGCCCCGGUGAACGGCGGCCGUAACUAUAACGGUCCUAAGGUAGCGAAAUUCCUUGUCGGGCAAGUUCCGACCCGCACGAAAGGCGUAACGAUCUGGGCGCUGUCUCGGAGAGAGGCUCGGCGAAAUAGAAUUGUCUGUGAAGAUGCGGACUACGUGCACCCGGACAGAAAGACCCUAUGAAGCUUUACUGUAGCUUGGUAUUGUGCCCGGGCUCUGAAUGCGCAGGAUAGGUGGGAGGCUUUGAUCCAUUGCUUGUGGGUGAUGGUGAGCCAACGGUGAGGUACCACUCUUUCAGAGCUAGGGUUCUAACGGUCACCCGUCAUCCGGGGACCGGACAGUAUCAGGUGGGCAGUUUGACUGGGGCGGUCGCCUCCUAAAAGGUAACGGAGGCGCGCAAAGGUUCCCUCAGGCUGGUUGGAAAUCAGCCGACGAGUGUAAAGGCAGAAGGGAGCUUGACUGUGAGACCUACAAGUCGAACAGGGACGAAAGUCGGCCUUAGUGAUCCGACGGUUCUGUGUGGAAGGGCCGUCGCUCAACGGAUAAAAGUUACUCUAGGAUAACAGGCUGAUCUCCCCCAAGAGUUCACAUCGACGGGGAGGUUUGGCACCUCGAUGUCGGCUCAUCGCAACCUGGGGCUGAAGUCGGUCCCAAGGGUUGGGCUGUUCGCCCAUUAAAGCGGUACGCGAGCUGGUUCAGAACGUCGUGAGACAGUUCGGUCCAUAUCCGGUGCAUGCGCAGGAAUAUUGAGAGGAUUUCUCCCUAGUACGAGAGGACCGGGAGGAACGCACCUCUGGUGUGCCAGUUAUCGUGCCAACGGUAAACGCUGGGUAGCCAUGUGCGGAGAGGAUAACCGCUGAAAGCAUCUAAGUGGGAAGCCCACCUCAAGAUGAGUAUUCCCAUGGCGUUAGCCAGUAAGGUCACGGGAAGAACACCCGUUGAUAGGCUCUACGUGGAAGCCGGGUAACCGGUGAAGCGGAGGAGUACUAAUAGACCGAGGGCUUGACCG
rnacentral:rRNA from 1 species